rnacentral:rRNA from 1 species
CCUACGGGAGGCAGCAGUCGAGAAUCAUUCACAAUGGGGGAAACCCUGAUGGUGCGACGCCGCGUGGGGGAAUGAAGGUCUUCGGAUUGUAAACCCCUGUCAUGUGGGAGCAAAUUAAAAAGAUAGUACCACAAGAGGAAGAGACGGCUAACUCUGUGCCAGCAGCCGCGGUAAUACAGAGGUCUCAAGCGUUGUUCGGAAUCACUGGGCGUAAAGCGUGCGUAGGCUGUUUCGUAAGUCGUGUGUGAAAGGCGCGGGCUCAACCCGCGGACGGCACAUGAUACUGCGAGACUAGAGUAAGGGAGGGGGAACCGGAAUUCUCGGUGUAGCAGUGAAAUGCGUAGAUAGCGAGAGGAACACUCGUGGCGAAGGCGGGUUCCUGGACAUUAACUGACGCUGAGGCACGAAGGCCAGGGGAGCGAAAGGGAUUAGAGACCCCAGUAGUC